GCCACGCCCGCUCAAGAAACUCAAAGGAUUGACGGGGCCCGCACAAGCGGUGGAGCAUGUGGUUUAAUUCGAUGAUACGCGAGGAACCUUACCUGGGCUCAAAUGUAUGUUGACGUAUUCUGAAAGGGAUACUUCUUCGGACAAUAUACAAGGUGCUGCAUGGUUGUCGUCAGCUCGUGCCGUGAGGUGUCGGGUUAAGUCCCAUAACGAGCGCAACCCUACCUUUAGUUGCCAUCAGGUAAUGCUGGGGACUCUAAAGGAACUGCCUACGCAAGUAGUGAGGAAGGCGGGGAUGACGUCAAAUCAGCACGGCCCUUACGUCCAGGGCUACACACGUGCUACAAUGGCCGAUACAGAGGGCAGCUACCUGGUGACAGGAUGCAAAUCUCCAAAGUCGGUCUCAGUUCGGAUCGGAGUCUGCAACCCGACUCCGUGAAGUUGGAUUCGCUAGUAAUCGCGCAUCAGCCAUGGCGCGGUGAAUACGUUCCCGGGCCUU
rnacentral:rRNA from 1 species